CCCUUAGAUGUCCUGGGCCGCACGCGCGCUACACUGAGUGUCUGAGAUACGAGUCUGCCUGGUCCGGCAAGGUCUAGGUAAUCGCUAAAAGACACAUCAUGCUUGGGAUAGAUUAUUGCAAAUAUUAAUCUUGAACGAGGAAUUCCUAGUAAGCGCAAGUCAACAGCUUGCGUUGAUUACGUCCCUGCCCUUUGUACACACCGCCCGUCGCUACUACUGAUUGGAUGUUUAAGCGAGGUUCUCGAACUGCUAGCGACUUAGCUUCGGUGAGGUCGCAGUGUGGGAAGUGAACCUAGCUUUGGUGUCGAGAGGAAGUAAAAGUCGGAACA
rnacentral:rRNA from 1 species